rnacentral:rRNA from 1 species
AGCAGUCGCCGCGGGAAUACGAAGGGUGCAAGCGUUAAUCGGAAUUACUGGGCGUAAAGCGUGCGUAGGCGGUUUGUUAAGUCUGUUGUGAAAUCCCCGGGCUCAACCUGGGAAUGGCAAUGGAUACUGGCAAGCUAGAGUGUGUCAGAGGAUGGUGGAAUUCCCGGUGUAGCGGUGAAAUGCGUAGAGAUCGGGAGGAACAUCAGUGGCGAAGGCGGCCAUCUGGGACAACACUGACGCUGAGGCACGAAAGCGUGGGGAGCAAACAGGAUUAGAUACCCCCGUAGUCCCUGUCUCUUAUAC